rnacentral:rRNA from 1 species
AGUGAACGCUGGCGGUAGGCCUAACACAUGCAAGUCGAACGGCAGCACAGUAAGAGCUUGCUCUUACGGGUGGCGAGUGGCGGACGGGUGAGGAAUACAUCGGAAUCUACUUUUUCGUGGGGGAUAACGUAGGGAAACUUACGCUAAUACCGCAUACGACCUACGGGUGAAAGCAGGGGAUCUUCGGACCUUGCGCGAUUGAAUGAGCCGAUGUCGGAUUAGCUAGUUGGCGGGGUAAAGGUCCACCAAGGCGACGAUCCGUAGCUGGUCUGAGAGGCUGAUCAGCCACACUGGAACUGAGCCACGGUCCAGACUCCUACGGGAGGCACCAGUCGGGAAUAUUGGACAAUGGGCGCAAGCCUGAUCCAGCCAUACCGCGUGGGUGAAGAAGGCCUUCGGGUUGUAAAGCCCUUUUGUUGGGAAAGAAAAGCAGCAGGUUAAUACCCCGCUGUUCUGACGGUACCCAAAGAAUAAGCACCGGCUAACUUCGUG